UCUCAGGGGACAACUAUACCAGACUUCUAUCAGCAAGCACUUCUUGGCAUCAGCAAUAGUAUCUGGGUUUGGCAUCUACAGAUGGGAUAGAUCCCUAAGUAGGAUAGUCUUUGGAUGGUCUUUUCUUAAGUCUCUGUUCCAUUCUUUAUCCCUGCAUUUCCUUUUGACAGGAGCAAUCCUGGGUUAAUAUUUUUAAGAUGGGUAAGUGGCCUAUCUCAACAGGGGGCCGUGACUAUCCACUGGAUAUGGUAUUUACAGGUUCUCUCUCCACUUUGUUACAUAUUUCAGCUAAUGUCAUCCCUGUUGGGUUCUGAGGCUACCCUCAGCUCCCCAUCCGCCAUCACUACACACCUCCGUUCAAUGUUCAAUUUCCUGACCGUCUGUACUUCUCCUCCAUCAGGAUCCUGCCCCCCUCCCCCCUCCCCUUUUCCUCCUCUUUCCCUUACAAAUCUCUUCCCUCCUCUACCUCCCAUGACUAUUUUCUUCCCCCUUUUGAGUAGGACUGAGGGAUCCAUACUUUAGUCUUCUUUCUUCUUCUUGAAUUUCAUAUGGUCUGUGAGUUGUAUCAUGGGUAUUCUGAGCUUUUUUUGGCUUACAUCCACUUAUCAGUGAGCACAUAUCAUGUGUGUUCUUUUGUGACUGGAUUACCUCACUAGAUUACUGUUAUUGCCCGUGUUUUAGAAUCAGUUUUAAGAUCUCUCUCCAUGACUAUAUAAUAGGACAUAUAUGUUUUAUUCUAGUUUUAAUGUGUG
rnacentral:lncRNA from 1 species